rnacentral:piRNA from 1 species
CCUGAUGAUGAGAUUGAUGACUGACU